rnacentral:rRNA from 1 species
AUUGAACGCUGGCGGCAGGCUUAACACAUGCAAGUCGAACGCGAAAGGGACUUCGGUCCUGAGUACAGCGGCGCACGGGUGCGUAACACGUGGGUAAUCUGCCCUGAAGCUCGGGAUAACUCGCCGAAAGGCGUGCUAAUACCGGAUAAGACCACGGGAGCCUCGGCUCCUGCGGGAAAAGGUGGCCUCUGCAUGCAAGCUAUCACUUCAGGAUGAGCCCGCGGCCCAUCAGCUCGUUGGCGGGGUAACGGCCCACCAAGGCGACGACGGGUAGCUGGUCUGAGAGGACGAUCAGCCACACUGGAACUGAGACACGGUCCAGACUCCUACGGGAGGCAGCAGUGGGGAAUCUUGCGCAAUGGGCGAAAGCCUGACGCAGCAACGCCGCGUGUGUGAUGAAGGUCUUCGGAUCGUAAAGCACUGUCGGGAGGGACGAAUAAGGGCCGGGUGAACAAUCCGGUUCGAUGACGGUACCUCCAAAGGAAGCACCGGCUAACUCUGUGCCAGCCGCCGCAGUAA